rnacentral:rRNA from 1 species
CACUAUCAUUAACUGAAUCCAUAGGUUAAUGAGGCGAACCGGGGGAACUGAAACAUCUAAGUACCCCGAGGAAAAGAAAUCAACCGAGAUUCCCCCAGUAGCGGCGAGCGAACGGGGAGCAGCCCAGAGCCUGAAUCAGUGUGUGUGUUAGUGGAAGCGUCUGGAAAGGCGCGCGAUACAGGGUGACAGCCCCGUACACAAAAAUGCACAUGCUGUGAGCUCGAUGAGUAGGGCGGGACACGUGGUAUCCUGUCUGAAUAUGGGGGGACCAUCCUCCAAGGCUAAAUACUCCUGACUGACCGAUAGUGAACCAGUACCGUGAGGGAAAGGCGAAAAGAACCCCGGCGAGGGGAGUGAAAAAGAACCUGAAACCGUGUACGUACAAGCAGUGGGAGCACGCUUAGGCGUGUGACUGCGUACCUUUUGUAUAAUGGGUCAGCGACUUAUAUUCUGUAGCAAGGUUAACCGAAUAGGGGAGCCGAAGGGAAACCGAGUCUUAACUGGGCGUUAAGUUGCAGGGUAUAGACCCGAAACCCGGUGAUCUAGCCAUGGGCAGGUUGAAGGUUGGGUAACACUAACUGGAGGACCGAACCGACUAAUGUUGAAAAAUUAGCGGAUGACUUGUGGCUGGGGGUGAAAGGCCAAUCAAACCGGGAGAUAGCUGGUUCUCCCCGAAAGCUAUUUAGGUAGCGCCUCGUGAAUUCAUCUCCGGGGGUAGAGCACUGUUUCGGCAAGGGGGUCAUCCCGACUUACCAACCCGAUGCAAACUGCGAAUACCGGAGAAUGUUAUCACGGGAGACACACGGCGGGUGCUAACGUCCGUCGUGAAGAGGGAAACAACCCAGACCGCCAGCUAAGGUCCCAAAGUCAUGGUUAAGUGGGAAACGAUGUGGGAAGGCCCAGACAGCCAGGAUGUUGGCUUAGAAGCAGCCAUCAUUUAAAGAAAGCGUAAUAGCUCACUGGUCGAGUCGGCCUGCGCGGAAGAUGUAACGGGGCUAAACCAUGCACCGAAGCUGCGGCAGCGACGCUUAUGCGUUGUUGGGUAGGGGAGCGUUCUGUAAGCCUGCGAAGGUGUGCUGUGAGGCAUGCUGGAGGUAUCAGAAGUGCGAAUGCUGACAUAAGUAACGAUAAAGCGGGUGAAAAGCCCGCUCGCCGGAAGACCAAGGGUUCCUGUCCAACGUUAAUCGGGGCAGGGUGAGUCGACCCCUAAGGCGAGGCCGAAAGGCGUAGUCGAUGGGAAACAGGUUAAUAUUCCUGUACUUGGUGUUACUGCGAAGGGGGGACGGAGAAGGCUAUGUUGGCCGGGCGACGGUUGUCCCGGUUUAAGCGUGUAGGCUGGUUUUCCAGGCAAAUCCGGAAAAUCAAGGCUGAGGCGUGAUGACGAGGCACUACGGUGCUGAAGCAACAAAUGCCCUGCUUCCAGGAAAAGCCUCUAAGCAUCAGGUAACAUCAAAUCGUACCCCAAACCGACACAGGUGGUCAGGUAGAGAAUACCAAGGCGCUUGAGAGAACUCGGGUGAAGGAACUAGGCAAAAUGGUGCCGUAACUUCGGGAGAAGGCACGCUGAUAUGUAGGUGAAGUCCCUCGCGGAUGGAGCUGAAAUCAGUCGAAGAUACCAGCUGGCUGCAACUGUUUAUUAAAAACACAGCACUGUGCAAACACGAAAGUGGACGUAUACGGUGUGACGCCUGCCCGGUGC